rfam:Streptomyces sp. DvalAA-14 genome assembly, contig: Ga0115240_1065
AGGGGAAGCCGGUGCGAAUCCGGCGCUGCCCCGCAACGGUGAGCGGGCGCGCCCCGGCGCGCCCGCACAGCCCGAUCGCCU